ensembl:lncRNA
GGAUUCAUACUCCUCAUCGUGAAACAUUAAUGAUGAUUCUUGAUUGAGAUCAGAUCAGUUGAAUCACUCUCCGUUUCAUGCAGCUGUCUCGUUGCUCGCUGAGGAGCAUCUCAGGAGCACCGUUUUCUUCUUUCAUCAAAAAACAAUCAACCUUGUUUCCAGGGCAGUUUUCCAUCAGAGAGAGCUGCUACUUAAAGAAUUUACGCUCGGCUGUUCACGUCAACAAGCAAUCGGCCAGCCUAAUAAAAAGAAUCCAACGCCUUCAAAAUGCUGCACGCAAGCUUGAAAUGACUAUGUACACAGAUCCAGACCUUCCUGAAAAGCAGGCAGGAUUCGAUGGAGCUCGACACUUUAAUUACCGAGCGGAAACCCCUGUUUAGCAUAACUGAGUAAUGAUAUUGACCAUGCUAAGAUAAUUAUUCCGAAACUAUAGUAGCAGUACAGGCAUAUUGUUUAUAAUUAUACAGCGCAACCAGCAUCUUACAUGUUAUGUACUUGCUUUCACUUUUUCAAUUAAUCCAAGCACUUUUUCUUGGAGAAUGUUCUAGGGUUCAAUUACAUGGGGGGAGCACCCCUAGUGGUGGAAAUUCUAAUAUGUGUAAUAAUGUUUAGUGUUAGAAUUGUAGUUUGUGUGUUAUUAGAUAUUAGUUAUUACAUUAGCAUGUUUGAUGACGUGAAUGCAAUUUUAAUCAAACACAAUUUAUAGUCAUGUUAAACACUGUACACAUUAACAUUAUGUCACGAUGUGAUGUUAAAACCUGGGGACGGAUGCUAGUUGCCGUCCUUUAUGGAUUUCUCCCUAUUUUCUCCCCAAAGAGGGUUUUUUGGGAGUUUUUUCUCCUGUCAGGUAGUAGAUAAGCAACUGAAUACAAGACAGCCGAUUGAGGCCAAUGUCUUGACUAUUGGACCACAUGAACUGUUUUAGAUCUUAUGAUGUAGUGUGAUGAACUGUGGUUAUUAAUGAUGUGUUGUAAUUAAAGUGUACUAGUUAUAAGAUGAAGACUUAAACUAUGCAUGCUUUGUUAUAUUCACUCA